UCCGGUCGUCGCCGGCGGCGGCGCGGCGCAGGGCCUCGAGGGCCGUCCCGUCCGGUUGUUCGGAGCGGCCGAUCAGGAC
rnacentral:tRNA from 1 species